rnacentral:tRNA from 1 species
GCCGAAGUGAUGGAAUUGGUAGACAUGACGGUCUCAAAAACCGUUGCACUCCGUGCGUGCCGGUUCGACUCCGGCCUUCGGCACCA